UGAGGAAUAUUGGUCAAUGGGCGAGAGCCUGAACCAGCCACGUCGCGUGAAGGAAGACUGACCUUACGGUUUGUAAACUUCUUUUGGAGAGGGGUAAUGGCAGAUACGUGUAUUUGCGUGAAAGUACUCUACGAAUAAGCAUCGGCUAACUCCGUGCCAGCAGCCGCGGUAAUACGGGGGAUGCGAGCGUUAUCCGGAAUUAUUGGGUUUAAAGGGUGCGCAGGUGGCUAAUCAGGUCAGUGGUGAAAAGCUAUGGCUCAACCAUGGUCUUGCCAUUGAACCCGUAUAGCUAGAGAGGAGACGAGGUAGGCGGAAUGUGUGGUGUAGCGGUGAAAUGCAUAGAUAUCACACAGAACUCCGAUUGCGAAGGCAGCUUACCAGGCUUUAUCUGACACUUAGGCACGACAGCGUGGGGAUCAAACAGG
rnacentral:rRNA from 1 species